rnacentral:rRNA from 1 species
AUUGAACGCUGGCGGCAGGCCUAACACAUGAAAGUCGAGCGGAUGAAGGGAGCUUGCUCCUGGAUUCAGCGGCGGACGGGUGAGUAAUGCCUAGGAAUCUGCCUGGUAGUGGGGGAUAACGUCCGGAAACGGGCGCUAAUACCGCAUACGUCCUGAGGGAGAAAGUGGGGGAUCUUCGGACCUCACGCUAUCAGAUGAGCCUAGGUCGGAUUAGCUAGUUGGUGGGGUAAAGGCCUACCAAGGCGACGAUCCGUAACUGGUCUGAGAGGAUGAUCAGUCACACUGGAACUGAGACACGGUCCAGACUCCUACGGGAGGCAGCAGUGGGGAAUAUUGGACCAUGGGCGAAAGCCUGAUCCAGCCAUGCCGCGUGUGUGAAGAAGGUCUUCGGAUUGUAAAGCACUUUAAGUUGGGAGGAAGGGCAGUAAGUUAAUACCUUGCUGUUUUGACGUUACCAACAGAAUAAGCACCGGCUAACUUCGUG